GAUGAACGCUGGCGGCGUGCCUAAUACAUGCAAGUCGAGCGAACAGAUGAGGAGCUUGCUCCUCUGACGUUAGCGGCGGACGGGUGAGUAACACGUGGAUAACCUACCUAUAAGACUGGGAUAACUUCGGGAAACCGGAGCUAAUCCCGGAUAAUAUAUUGAACCGCAUGGUUCAAUAGUGAAAGACGGUUUUGCUGUCACUUAUAGAUGGAUCCGCGCCGCAUUAGCUAGUUGGUAAGGUAACGGCUUACCAAGGCAACGAUGCGUAGCCGACCUGAGAGGGUGAUCGGCCACACUAGAACUGAGACACGGUCCAGACUCCUACGGGAGGCAGCAGUAGGGAAUCUUCCGCAAUGGGCGAAAGCCUGACGGAGCAACGCCGCGUGAGUGAUGAAGGUCUUCGGAUCGUAAAACUCUGUUAUUAGGGAAGAACAAAUGUGUAAGUAACUAUGCACGUCUUGACGGUACCUAAUCAGAAAGCCACGGCUAACUACGUG
rnacentral:rRNA from 1 species